AUUUGCAUCUCUUUUCCCCUUAAAGCCUAGUGAAAAAACUUUUUGCUGAUGGACACGUGGCACAUAGCCCUCGGGCCUUUUACCAACUAGUUUGGUGGGUAUGAGGGUCCACCUUUUGUCAACAUGACCAUCUGUCAAUGGAAACCUUAUCUCUCUUGAAAAUAGAGGUAACUGCCAAUCAGGUGCGAAAUCUUUGAGUCCAUUAAACCUGAAUAUUCCUUUAUUCCCGCUGCUGUUACUGCACCACGGUUAUAAAUAACGGAGGAAAUCGUCCCUUUCAUUUUACCUUUGCCAUCUCGUCUUUCAACUUCCACAUUGUAGCCCUAGCGUCGCCACUACUCGAUCUGCUAGCGCUGCCAUCCCCCAC
rnacentral:lncRNA from 1 species